UACGGAGGAUGCGAGCGUUAUCCGGAUUUAUUGGGUUUAAAGGGUGCGUAGGCGGUCCGUUAAGUCAGCGGUAAAAUUGCGGGGCUCAACCCCGUCGAGCCGUUGAAACUGUCAGACUUGAGUUGGCGAGAAGUACGCGGAAUGCGCGGUGUAGCGGUGAAAUGCAUAGAUAUCGCGCAGAACUCCGAUUGCGAAGGCAGCGUACCGGCGCCACACUGACGCUGAGGCACGAAAGCGUGGGGAUCGGACAGG
rnacentral:rRNA from 1 species